AGUGCUUUAGCCGUACAAUCAAGGAAGAGGGUUUUGGUUCAUUGUGGAGAGGGAACACUGCCAAUGUUAUCCGUUACUUCCCCACUCAGGUGUGUGAUGCUUAUUUUAACUAAAUGUUCCAUUGGCAAAGAAAAGUUUUGAUGCGUACUUGUACUAAAAUUGUUACCUGGAUUUGUUGUAGGCCUUGAACUUUGCAUUCAAGGAUUACUUCAAGAGGCUGUUCAACUUCAAGAAAGACAGGGAUGGUUAUUGGAAAUGGUUUGCUGGUAACUUGGCUUCAGGAAGUGCUGCUGGUGCUUAUUCUCUUCUCUUUGUCUACUCUUUGGAUUAUGCUCGUACUCGUUUGACUAAUGAUGCUAAAGCUGCAAAGAAGGGAGGAGAAAGACAAUUCAAUGGUCUGGUUGAUGUCUACAGGAAGACAUUGAAAUCUGAUGGAAUUGCCGGUCUUUACCGUGGAUUCAACAUCUCUUGUGUUGGAAUUAUUGUCUACCGUGGUCUUUACUUUGGACUGUACGAUUCCCUAAAGCCUGUUGUCCUGACUGGAGGCUUGCAGGUUAGUAAAUUACUUUUAUUAAUUCACUUACCUUUUUGUUCAUGGUUAUAUAUUCUUAUGAUGGUGUUGGCUUUGUUUACGUUAGUUGCUAGCUCAAUUUUGGUUUUUUAUUACUUUCUGUGUAAUUGUUGAAUAUCUUGUUUGUGUGCAUAUUGUUAUGGCAUAAUAUUUCUUAUAUUAGUCAUUCCUUUCCCUUUGAGAAAGGACUAUUAAUUUUGCAAAAGGUCUAAUGAUGCGUCCGCUCUUUUGUUCAUUAUUUUUGGCUUUGCUCUAUUCUAAUGCUUUCUUUGCGAAGCAUUACAAAGAAUUGUAUGAAGUGUCUAUUUAUGUUGGGUUUUAAAGAAUGCUAUGCCACAAUGUUGGAAUCUGUUGCCCACAAUCAUUAUCUGCUUUCAGUUGUGUGACAUGUUGCUUUAUUGUUUUGAAAACUACAGGAUAGUUUCUUCGCUAGCUUUGCCCUCGGUUGGGUCAUCACCAAUGGUGCUGGUCUUGCAUCCUACCCAAUUGACACUGUCCGCAGAAGAAUGAUGAUGACCUCCGGUGAAGCCGUCAAGUACAAGAGUUCCCUGGAUGCCUUCCAACAAAUCUUGAAGAACGAGGGUGCCAAGUCUCUCUUCAAGGGUGCUGGUGCUAACAUCCUCCGUGCCAUUGCUGGUGCUGGUGUGCUGUCUGGUUAUGACAAGCUACAGCUGCUUGUGUUCGGCAAGAAGUACGGAUCUGGUUCCGGUUAAGAAUAGUUUUCCUCCGAAGCCAUAUUAGCUUUUAGAUGGUGAUGAAAAUCUUUUUUGAGCUUUUGAAGAACUUGUUUCGGCAAAAUUUUCUUGAAAUAAUUAAUUCAGUUAUAGGGGAGCAGGGCCGGCCCAGGCCCAGUGCAGAAGGGGCGACCGUCAGGGCCCAAAAAAAUUAGGGGCACCAAAAUUAUUAGGGCGAUAUAUUUAUAUAUGUUUUUAUAAGAGUAUAAAUUUAUAAAAUUUGAUUCAAAGACACAGAAAUUUAACUAGAAGUGGUGGUUUGUCAUUUGAAAAUAAUAAGGAGGUCUGGUGUUCAAAACACCAUGUGUGCUUAUUUACUUUCCUUUUUUUCACAAAUUUCGUUUUAUAAGAGUAUAAAUUUAGAAAAUUUGGUUAAAGGAUAAAGAAGUUUAAUUAGAAACAAUGAUUUUUGUUGUUUAAAAUUAACAAGAGGUCCUAAGUUCGAAAUGCUAUAUGCAUGUUUAUUCUUUUCAAUUUUUACAAAUUUUUGUUUGGUUGGUAAUUUAUUUUUAGUUACUAUCUAGUAGCUAUGUGGGUUGUUAUUUUUAAAUAUUCGUUUUAAUUCAAGUCUAAUAUUCAACAAAGAAUAAUACGUAGACCAAAUUUGUAAAUUAUAUGACGUGUCAUCAAAAUGUUUAAUUUAGUAAAACUCGAAAACAUCAUUAUUUUUUAGUCUCAUAUUGACAAGGUUAGUAAAUAAGAAAAAAACACCUCACGAUUUAUUCAAAAACACAUUCAAAGUUCAAAUGGAAAACAAAACUCAUCAUCUAUCUUCUUGUAAGCCUGAAGUUUUUUUGUUUCCCUCUCUCAAUACAAAAUAAAUUAGUUUUUCUGUGUUUCUAAAUUAUUGAGUUUGAAGUGUUUUUCUAAGUAUAAUUUUUUCGAUGUCUUAUGUGUGAAAAUAAAUAAUUUUCUUACAUGAAGUUAGGGUACUUUUUUUUACGUCGUCUCGGGCCUCAAAAAUCUCUAGACCGGCCCUGUAUGGGAGUUAAUCCCAAACCGAAUUUUACUGUGGGAUUGAGUUUUGUUUCCCAUAAACCAGAUUAUUGAGUGGUGAAAAAUUCCAUUCAUCUUGAAGUUUCAUUUAUGUGAUUUGCUGGUUAUUUAUGAAUGUUUCUGUUUAAAAUUUUGCAAUGAUGUCGCAUUAUUGUGCUUAAAUGUUUGUCUUUGAAAUUUUGCGUACUGUCGAAGGGAAGUGAUUUUCAUGCAGCGUAAUUUUCCUUUUCAUGCGACGGAAUGAAACAGAAGUAUGAAACUCUUAAUUCGAGUGUGAACUUUUUAUGGAUGCAAUUUUUGGAGCUUAAAUACCGUUUGCGCCUCCUACUAUCGGGCUGAUGGAGGAAGAGAUUAGUUUUUUCAUCAAUGUGGGAUGCGGUACUCGGAUACCACUACUAGAAAAGAUAACGUAUUCAUGAUCUUUGUGAGCCUCGAGUGGUUUAAUUUUCCACUAUAACUUUUUACUGAAGAAUAAAAUGACCAUUGAUUCGUCUGUCUCUGUUUGAGAAAAAAUUAUGAAAAUAGAGGAAUCAAACCUUGAUCCAUAAUGCCUUUUGAAAAUCUAGCAUUCUUUGUCUCUGUUUCGUUGACUGCACGUUUAACCAUCCAUUGCUCUACUGUCGUGUCCAAACAUAGUAAAACUGUUGUGCUAAAAACUAAAAUACUAGUCAAAGAUGAAGCCGAAACUUAGUCUACCUAACAUUACUCUCAUCCUAUUCAUCAUACCCAACUGAAAUGGAAAAGCAUUGAUUCAUUCACGUGUCUUCGUACCCAAGGGUUUUAGAUUCCCUCCUUCCUCGUAAAAGCCCAUGUAAAAGGUAUUUCGUCCUCAAGGAUAUGCUUAGAUCUAUAAACGGAUCCGAUCAAUUUUGAUCUAUAUUCGGGUCCAUUAAUUUGGGAUUAUCAAGUUUGGUUUGUAUUUGUAUUAUCGGAUUUGACGUAUAAAUCCAUAUGCAAUAAACAUCAAUUUCAAAAUGAUUUGGAUUCCCGCCGGAUCUAAUUUAUGAUCUAGAAAAGCUUACAAUAUUAUUACUAACAUCAUUCUUUUAAUAUAUUUAUCUAUGUUAAAUAGAACUUUUCAUGUUGUAUAAACAUAAACUUGUGAAUAAGUGUAUUUUGAAUGCAUAAAAAAGUCUUCAACUUCUAUUACACACUAGUAUACUAUUUGUAAAAUAAUGAAUAAAUCAAAUAAUAGGUUAAUAUUAAGUUGAAUUGGAUCAAAAUUCAUAUUUGGAUUCAUUUAUAAUCAGAUUUCUUUCUUAUCCUAUCUAGAUAAGUUAUAUUGGAAAUUUCGAUCAUUGACGUGUCUAAAUGUGCGUACUAAACAUGAGAAUACAAUAUCAUACACCUCCUUAAACCUCUAGUUACACAAAUCAAAGAGCCCAUAAUUAAAUGUUUGGACAGGCAUUUAGGCGAAUUUAGGUAGAAAUAUGUAACAAAAUACUAGACCGAGAGAUUAAAAAUUCAAUACACCACAUGAAUAUCAAAAACCGCUAAACAAAGCAUUUUCAAAAUACGCAUUCAAGUAUUCGUAUGCAAAUUCCUUUGUGCAUUGCGUCUAGUCAUUUCAAAUACAUUUAUCAAAUGUUUUUGUUGUGCAUCUCUUACUAGUGUAGUCUAAUCGCUCAGUAGUUUAAGCCUCAACCAUUAUAAUUAUAAAUAGCGGAUCUACGACAUCAUUUUUUUACACAAUUUUGACACACAUUUUUAUGGUCGACUUUGUAAUAUAUUUUAACAAUCUGAAUCAUUCAUCAUUCAUAGAUCAUCCUUGCAAAAAAGUAAACAAAUUUAAACCAUUAAGACAUUUAUUUUGUAGUGAAAAAAAUGGAAGAAUACGAUUCUACAAAGAAACCCUAAACCCUUAAUCUAACAUUCAUAUGGUUUCAAAUUUGGAUGAUUAUUGGUAGAUAUAUUUUUUGAGGGAAAACCUAAAAAUUAAACAGUUCAGAUCGUUGAAAUACAUUAGAAGUUGCUCCAAAAAUUAUGUGUCAAAAGUUGUGCAAAAAAGUAGUGUCACGAAUCCGGCCAUGAUUAUAUUAUAAUCAUGGUUAAGACUUAAUUAAAAACAAAAUUAACAUUAGCUUUAAUGAAGUUGACUCAACACAUCACUUUGGAAUAACUAAUCUCAUCCUUUUACGUUUAAUUUUGACCAGCUUGUUGGAAGCCCCAUGAAUUCCUUGCUUCUAGUACGAGGCCCUAUGUGCCAGCAUGGUCCCAGAUAACUCGAUUCACCACAACUAGCAUUUGAUAUUUGUUGUGAAUAAUACGUGGAUGAACCAUAUGAAUAGUCUGUUACUAUUUAUGCACAGUAUUUUCACUAUUUAUUUGUGGAAAUUUUGUAAAGUGAAUAGUAUUACUACAAUAACUUUUUCCUAUCAAAUGAAAGCAUGUGAAGAAGAGAGAAAGGGUGAGAGACUCACAGAAGAGGAAGAAGAGAUGAGAUAAUAGAGAGAAUUAUCUUUGUACUCUUAUUAUUUCAGAUUAUAAUGAAAGCAUCACUGCUGCCCUGAUGAUGUACUCCAGUUAGAGGAACCUCAUAAAUUUUGUGUGUUGUUUAGCCCACGUUUACUCAGUCGUCACGGCGCCGUCUAUUUUAGACAGUUCCUAACCUUCUCACGUGAAAUAUCAUCCGUCAGAUCGAACAGUUAACGGCUGCGAUUUGAGCCAUUCACAGUUAUUCGCUUCUGAUGGGUCAGCCGUCAGCCAAUAAAAAGGCCCCGUUUCUCUACAAAGAGGCGUCUCCUCCACACAUCUCUCGCUCUCGCUCUCAGUCUCUCUUUUGUCUUUCGCGCAUUUCAGCGUAGAGCUCAAAGCGGAGACGCCUCGCAGCCACCACCACCGAAGGUAUAACCGAAAUUCUCUCUUUUGCUAUGUUUAGAUCUGAAUUUUGUCUAUAUCUCUCUCAGAUUUUUUGAGGUUUUUUUCAUUUACUUUCAAUUUUUUUUCUUUUUCCCAGAUCUGUAUUUCUUUCUGUAAUUUUGAUUUGCAAAGGUGAUUUUUUUAAUCGAUUAAUUGUUUUUGUGGAUCUGAUUAUUUGCGGCUUGUUGCAGUGAGAUCUAAUCUGCUCGAUUUGUAUGUUUUUACUGUUUCAAAUCUGUUCGUCGAUGUCGGGUCUGAUUUUGUAGUGCAUUUAUAUGGUGGAAGUGUAUUGAUUUGCUUAUUUGUGGACUGUAGAUCCAGAUCCGUCAGAUCUGGACGGUUGUGAUUGGUUUUUGAAGUUUGUGAUUAUUUUCUGCUGUUAAUUGGAAGUUUUUGAGAUUUUAAAGUGAAUAUUCUUGAAAAAUCUAUAAAUGGGUAAUUCUGAUAUUUUUUUUUAUGUUUAUUUGCGAUGUCGAAUAGUCAAUUGUCAAUUUUUGGUAACAAAGAAAUGAUUCUUUUUGUAGUCUUAAAAAUUGUCAACUGUUUAGGCGCACCUAUGUUAAUUGAAUGUUAUUUCGGAUGAUAUGGUUUUUAAUUUCUCCGCUGUUAUGUUGGUUUGGUUUAAUGCGUACUGUGAUUUUAUUUUUUUCAUCGUAGGCAAAUGAGUUGGAUAUUGCGGUUUUAAUUCUCAAGCAGAGAGGAAUAACCAUUUAGUUUAUGGCAUAGGGAUUGAAUGCUUUAUUGCUUAGGUGCGGCUUUUAGUGAGUAAUACACAGAAUACCAUUUGAUAUGUUGACAUUUCAUGUUUAGUACCACUUUUCAUGAAAAUCCCUCUUUUUUCAUGUUUAAUACCAUUUGAGUAAUACACAGAAUACCAUUAUAUAUAUAUAUAUAUAUAUAUAUAUAUAUAUAUAUAUAUAUAUAUAUAUAUAUAUAUAUAUAUAUAUAUAUAAAAGAAGUCUUUUGACUCCUCGAUUGGAUGAUGUUGUGAUUCUAUUUGAAGUAUUGAUGGUUGUUUGGAUAUUCUUUUGUUCCUUGUUAGUACCAUGAUGUUGACUGCAUCUAUGAAAAUAUAGUGCAAAGAUCAUUGGACAUUUUACAGAAUAGAUGAUCUAAUAAGUAUGUAUGUAGUUUUUACUAACCAUCUGCUACCUCUUGAGAUCAUUCUGUGUCAUAUAUUUCAUUGUUUUCUGAUAUUUGAUAUCAAUAGACCUGAUGCUCGAGGCUCGGCCUGCUCGUCCUCUAUUUGUAUAUGUCUAUCUGGGAGUACAAGGGAUUUUAUAACUGGUUUUAUAGUGUACUUAAUGCUUUUAGGCAUAACUGAUGUCAGUUAGUUUUGGUCAAGUAUAUCAUAAUGUUCGUGGUAGAUUCUGUUUCUGAUAUGGUAUAUGCAUACUCUUGUAGGGCAAGUGACAAUGGUUGAUCAGGUUCAACAUCCUUCUGUCGUCCAGAAGGUAGCUGGCCAGCUCCUUCAGCAAUCUAUCCAGGGUUACGAUAAUGGCUUCCAAAGACCAGGAAUGUACCAAAGACGUGCUUAUGGGAACUACACUAAUGCUGCACUGCAGUAUCCCUUCAUGCCAGCAUGCAGAGCUACCACUGAUAUGUCUUUGGUUCCAUCAACUGCAUCACCCAUCUUUGUUCAAGCCCCUGCAGAGAAAGGCCACUUUCUGAUUGAUUUUCUCAUGGGUGGAGUCUCUGCUGCUGUGUCUAAAACUGCUGCUGCCCCAAUUGAGCGUGUCAAGCUGUUGAUUCAAAACCAGGAUGAGAUGAUCAAAACUGGUCGUUUGUCUCAACCCUACAAGGGCAUUGGGGAGUGCUUUAGCCGUACAAUCAAGGAAGAGGGUUUUGGUUCAUUGUGGAGAGGGAACACUGCCAAUGUUAUCCGUUACUUCCCCACUCAGGUUUGUAAUGUUAAUUUUCUACUAAAUGUUCCGUUGGCAAAGAAAAGUUUUGAUGCGUACUUGUACUAAAAUUGUUACCUGGAUUUGUUGUAGGCCUUGAACUUUGCAUUCAAGGAUUACUUCAAGAGGCUGUUCAACUUCAAGAAAGACCGGGACGGUUAUUGGAAAUGGUUUGCUGGUAACUUGGCUUCAGGAGGUGCUGCUGGUGCUUCUUCUCUUUUCUUUGUCUACUCGUUGGAUUAUGCUCGUACUCGCUUGGCUAAUGAUUCUAAAGCUGCAAAGAAGGGAGGAGAAAGACAAUUCAAUGGUCUGGUUGAUGUCUACAGGAAGACUUUGAAAUCUGAUGGAAUUGCUGGUCUUUACCGUGGAUUCAACAUCUCUUGUGUUGGAAUUAUUGUCUACCGUGGUCUCUACUUUGGACUGUAUGAUUCACUGAAGCCUGUUGUCCUGACUGGAGGCUUGCAGGUUAGUGAAUUACUUUUAUCUAUUCACUUACCUUUUUGUUCAUAGUUAUAUAUUAUUAUGAUGGUGUUGGCUUUGUUUAUGUUAGUUGCUAGCUCAAUUUUGGUUUUUUAUUACGUUCUGUGUAAUUGUUGAAUAUCUUGUAUGUGUGCAUAUUGUUAUGGCAUAAUAUUUCUUAUAUUAGUCAUUCAUUUCCCUUUGAGAAGGGACUAUUAAUUUUGCAAAAGGUUUAAUGAUGCGUCUGCUCUUCUGUUUAUUAUUUUUGGCUUUGCUCUAUUCUAAUGCUUUCUUUGCGAAGCAUUAUGAAGAAUUGUAUGAAGUGUCUAUUUAUGUUGGUUUUUAAAGAAUGCUAUGCCACAAUGUUCAAAUCUGUUGCCCACAAUCGUUAUCUGCUUUCAGUUGUGUGACACGUUGCUUAUUUUUGUUGAAAACUACAGGAUAGUUUCUUUGCUAGCUUUGCCCUUGGUUGGGUCAUCACCAAUGGUGCUGGUCUUGCAUCCUACCCAAUUGACACUGUCCGCAGAAGAAUGAUGAUGACCUCCGGUGAAGCCGUCAAGUACAAGAGUUCCCUGGAUGCCUUCCAACAAAUCUUGAAGAACGAGGGUGCCAAGUCUCUCUUCAAGGGUGCUGGUGCUAACAUCCUCCGUGCCAUUGCUGGUGCUGGUGUGCUGUCUGGUUAUGACAAGCUACAGCUGCUUGUGUUCGGCAAGAAGUACGGAUCUGGUUCCGGUUAAGAAUAUUUUUCCUCCCAAGCCAUAUUAGCUUUUAGAUGGUGAUGAAAAUCUUUUUGAGUUUUUGAAGAACUCGUUUCGGCAAAAUUUUCUUAAAAUAAUUCAGUUAUAGGGGAGUUAAUCCCAAACCGAAUUUUACUGCGGGAUUGAGUUUUGUUUCCCAUAAACCAGAUUAUUUGAGUGGUGAAAAAUUCCAUUCAUCCUGAAGUUUCAUUUAUGUGAUUUGCUGGUUAUUUAUGUGUGUUUCUGUUUAAAAUUUUGCAAUGAUGUCGAAUUAUUGUGCUUAAAUGUUGUUUUUGAAAUUUUGCAUACUGUCGAAGGGAAGUGAUUUUCAUGCAGCGUAUUUUUCCUUUUCAUGCGACGGAAAGAAACAGAAGUAUGAAACUCUUAAUUCGAGUGCGAACUUUUAGGGUGCGAUUGGUACGCAGAUGGGACGGGACGGAACGAAUGUGUAAUUUUUGAAAAAGACAUGGGGUAUAUUUGUUUUAAAAUGGUAAAACAUUGUGUUUCACAGAAGUGGAACAAACCCGUUCCAGGGGGAGGUGGGACGCAAAAACACCCAAAAUCUGUCUCGUGGAACAGUUCGUUCCACCUAUUUUUGGUGCACCAAACGUGGGACGGAACGUCUCAUCCCGUCCCGUCCCGUCCCACGUACCAAACGCAUCCUUACGGAUGCAAUUUUUUGAGCAACUGCCUACUGUUUGACUUGAGAGCUUAAAUACUGUUUGUGCCUUCUACUAUCGGGCUGAUGGAGAAAGAGAUUAGUUUUUUCAUCAAUGUGUGAUGAGAUACUUAGAUACCACUAUUAGGGAAAAUAACGUAUUGUGAGCCUCGAGUGGUUUAAUUUUCCACCAUAACUUUUUACUGAAGAAUAAAAUUACCACUGAUUCGUCCGUCUCUGUUGGAGAAACGAUUAUGAAAAUAGAGGAAUCAAACCCUGAUCCAUAAUGCCUUUUGAAAAUCUAGCCUUCUUUGUCUCAGUUUCGUUGACUGCACGUUUAACCAUUCAUUGCUCUGCUGUCAUGUCCAAGCAUAGUAAAACUGUUGUGCUAAAAACUAAAAUACUAGCCAAAGACGAACCCGAAACUUAGUGUUCCUAGCAUUAUUUCCAUUCUAUUCAUACCCAACUGAAAUGGAAAAUCAUUGAUUCAUUCACGUGUCUUCGUACCCAAGGGUUUUAGCUUCCCUCCUUCCUCGUAAAAGCCCAUGUAAAAGGUAUUUCGUCCUCAAGGAUAUGCUUAGAUCUAUAAACGGAUCCGAUCAAUUUUGAUCUAUAUUCGGGUCCAUUAAUAUGGGAUUAUCAAGUUUGGUUUGUAUUUGUAUUAUCGGAUUUGACGUAUAAAUCCAUAUGCAAUAAACAUCGAUUUCAAAAUGAUUUGGAUUCUCGCUGGAUCUAAUUUAUGAUCUAGAAAAGCUUAUAAUAUUAUUACUAACAUCAUUCUUUUAAUAUAUUUAUGUAUGUUAAGUUGAAUAAGUGUAUAAACAUAAACUAAACUAGUGAAUAAGUGUAUUUUGAAUGCAUACAAAAGUCUUCAACUUCUAUUACACACUAGUAUACUAUUUGUAAAAUAAUGAAUAAAUCAAAUAAUAGGUUAAUAUUAAGUUGAAUUGGAUCAAAAUUCAUAUUCGGAUUCAUUUAUAAUCAGAUUUCCUAUCUUAUUCAGAUAAGUUAUAUUGGAAAUCUCGAUCAUUGACGUGUCUAAAUGUGCUUACUAAACAUGAGAAUACAAUAUCAUACACCUCCUUAAACCUCUAAUUACACGAACCAAAGAGCCCUUAAUUAAAUGUUUGGACAUGCAUUUAGGCGAAUUUAGGUAGAAAUAUGUGACAAAAUAUUAGACCGAGAGAUUAAAAAUUGAAUACACCACAUGAAUAUCAAAAACCGCUAAACAAAGCAUUUUCAAAAUAAUCAUUCAAGUAUUCGUAUGCAAAUUCCUUUGUGCAUUGCGUCUAGUCAUUUCAAAUACAUUUAUCAAAUGUUUUUGUUGUGCAUCUCUUACUAAUGCAGUCUAAUCGCUCAGUAGUUUAAGCCUCAACCAUUAUAAUUAUAAAUAGCGGAUCUACGACAUCAUUUUUUUACACAAUUUUGACACACAUUUUUUUACACAAUUCGAACCGUUUAUCUUUUAUAACAUCAUUCAUAGAUCAUCCUUGCAAAAAAAGUAAACAAAUUUAAACCAUUAGGACAUUUAUUUUGUAGUGAAGAAUACGGAAGAAUACGGUUCUAUAAAGAAACCAUAAUCGCUUAAUCUAACAUUCAUAUGGUUUCAAAUUUGGAUGAUUAUUGGUAGAUAUAAACCUAAAAAUUAAACAGUUCGGAUCGUUGAAAUACAUUAGAAGUUGCUCCAAAAAUUAUGUGUCAAAAGUUGUGUAAAAAAGUGGUGUCACGGAUCCGGCCAUGAUUAUAUUAUAAUCAUGGUUAAGACUUAAUUAAAAACAAAAUUAACAUUAGCUUUAAUGAAGUUGACUCAACACAUCACUUUGGAAUAACUAAUCUCAUCCUUUUACGUUUAAUUUUGACCAGCUUUUUUGUUGGAAGCCCCAUGAAUUCCUUGCUAGUACAAGGCCCUAUGUGCCAGCAUGGUCCCAGAUAACUCAAUUCACCACAACUAGCAUUUGAUCUUGUUUAUAUAUCCAUAUUCAAUGAGCUUUAUGACAUAGAAAUUGAUGAUUGGAUUAUUACUUAAUCGUUGAUAAACAUGCUCAUUUUCUAUUGGUGACACCUCAUUUAGUUUGCUAAUUUAGUCUCCAAAUUUAAUCUCUCUAGCAUUACUCUAUUGGAUCAAAACGUCAUGUUAUCGUAAAUCCAUUUAAUGUCUUUCUCUUGAUUUACGGGUACUGCACCCUGAGCCAUGUGAUGAGAUUAGUACAGGCUAAUCAGUUGUCUCAACUUUUUAUAAGGAUUGAUUAUCCUACAAAAUGCAAAUAAAAAUGGUACAUAUUUCCUGUAAACUCAUUCAUUGUAAGUAAUCAUACCAUAAGUACUAGGUAUUAGGAUUGAAUAACUAUAUAUAAUGCGAUGAUACUACUUGUUCUACCCACCAAACGAGACAACUUCCUUAAGCGGAACCUUAUUUAAAAACCUUCCUUAUAGUAAGUCCACCCAUUAAGACAAUAAUUGCUUUAGUGAAUAGUAAUUGUCCGAAUGCAUCUCCAUCCUAUAAAUGAAUUGCUUGGACAAUUGACAUUAAAAAAAAUUAAAUUAAUAUUAUAUUUAACUUUUUACCAAUUUCAUCACUCCACAUAUCAUUAUCUGAAAUUAUAAUCCCGUCCUAGUCACUCCACUGUUCAUAUUCUCCUAAUUUCAUUUAUUUAAAAAUUUCAGUAUUUUUUUUUUUAAUUUUACUAAUAGAAUUAAUAUGGACCUUAGGAUGACAUUUUUUUUUGUAAUCCAAGAGUCCAAGUUGUGCCAUGUGGUCAUCUGUUUUAGAUAUUUUCUUCUUUAUUUUUUUUAUUUAAAAAAAAAAUCCAUAUUUAUAUGGACCGUUGGAUUUGGAAAAUCCAACAACCUAGGAUCGCAAACGGUCUUAGUGCCUGCAGUGUGGGCCCCACCACCUGCAUUUUGUCGAACCACUCACCUCACACGUGCAUGAAGUACACGUGCUUGGUGCAAAAAACUUAUAACGUAAGUGAUGACAGGAUGUGACACACCCCGACCUGGGAAGGUUGAAGCAUGCUGGCCAUUACCGUGAGGUGACGUAACCAUAAGGGUAAGUGAUGUGAAAAAGUAAAAAAAUUAAACCUAGAAGUGCCUAAAACAAAAGAGUGUGCGGGUGAGCGGGAUUGAACUCUUUUCACACGUGAUGUUAGAGCAUAAGACAAUAAGAUGAAUAGGAUGAGGGUUAUACCACUAAAGGUAACCAUCUCCUGAGAUUUUCCAGAAUCCUCGUAUAUACGUAAGCACAACUACUAAACCUGGAGGGGCGAAAAACAAAGUUGAGUGGGUCAGCAAAACAACGUUUUGUAAAAACCUUUAUUUUCGAAUAUACUAACCUCUCACCGUAAAACAAAUAUAGUUUCCUUAAAACAUACUAUGUAAGUAUGUAAACAAUAAUACAACAACAUUAUAACCAGAAGUAUACCAAGUCAUGAUAUAUAAUCCCACAAUAAUAAAAUCAUGUGAUAAUCAAGUAUAGCUAAGUGCUCAUCCAUCUAGACUGACACAUGAGUUCGAACAUAUAAUUUCCGACACGAACAUGAUUGGGUGUAAUCAAUAUGCUCUAGUACUACAAUCACGUGAAGGCUGGUGCUGAAGCACGGUCACAUACAAGUCGGAUUGCCUAAUGCAAUCUACCCAACAGGACUGGCACCUAACUUGGAUCCAAGACGAGUGAACGGUGCGAUGUGAACAUACACGUGAAGGACUGGCCCUGGCCCUGGGGUGAGUACUAACACCAGGGUGCAGCAAGAUGAGCAUGUGCAAAUAUGUAUAAAUGCCUUGACAGUAAUAUCCCAACCAUACAGCAACAUUUAUCACAAUUAAUAUCACAAUAACGAUACUUGGCAAUAUAAGUGUAAAAGUAAAAUAAUUACACAUUUAGGGAAACUAUCAAUAUGUAUAGGUAUAAAAUAAACUGCCCACUCACAGAUACGCAGUCGAAACGAAGUCUCCGAGCCCUGCUUGACUCCGUACGUCCUUGGGAUAUGUUUCCCUUAUAUGUGAAAUUACUAAUUAACUUAGUUUAAUAACACAUAAACGGAAACUUAAAUAAAACCUUCGUAGAUUGCUAAACAUAGGGUUUGAAUAUACGAAAUCGAUCUACUCGAUGUCACGGACCUACACAAAUUGACAGAAGGUCAAUCAGAGUUUGGACGCGCCGCCACGUGCCGCCACAAGGGGCUGCACAUCCGACCACGUGAUGCACGCGCCGAUGGCAUGUGGGUGGUCACGCGCGUUCAUGCUCCUGUGAGUACGCAUGUACUCCCCUUCUCCACGAUUUUCUGCAGUUUUUGCAAAUUUUUGGGCCAACUUCUUGAGCCCCUAACGAGCUCGAUUCUCAACCAAAAACACUUAUAUAAAAGCCAAAUUAAAGUUAGGAAUGUGAUGACUCGAUCCAUCUUCACAAAAAGUUCAAGUGUGGUCCGUGCUGUUCAGGAAUUUGGCCUGAAAGUAGCAAAAUGGCUAUGGUCGACUUUUCCCAGUAAUCUGGGAAUUUCUUCCCAACUUCCAGAGUUGAUUUCUAACUCGAUACUUAACCAAACUUGAUGAUUCGAAAGCUAUUUUGAAGUUAGGAAUAUAGAGAACAAGUCUAUACCUAAUAGGAAUCCAGUCGAGGUCGAGGUUGGCCGAAAAAAUGAUAUGAAAGUGACCAAAUGGUCACGGUUCCAGCCUCCAAAAUUUCAGGUUUUCUUCCUCCGAGUGAUUUCAAUGUUGACCUCUCACUAAGAUAUAUGAAAAUGAGUAACACAUCCACAAUUUCGAUGAGAGGAAUUCAAAACUAGUGUCUAGAAACCUUACCUUGGUCAAACUCGACAAGAACUCAUCGAAAAAGAUGAUGAACAAUGGUAGUGGCCAUUGUGCAGUGCAAGCCCCACUCCUGGGUUAAUGCUCACGUCUAAGCUUACAAAAUAGAAAAGGACAAGGCACAGUGGUGGUCCGACAGCCCAACUCGCCGGAGAAGUCGAGUGAAGACGAUUGGGGUUGGUGCAUGGCCUUUAGGCCUCUCUGCUUGUGCAGAGAAAAGAAAGAGGGUUUGAGAGAGAGUGAAGUUUGAGUGCUCUGAGUGGAGGACAAAUUUUUGGAUAAAAAUUCUGAUUGGUUGGGUAAAAGUGAUGGUGAUGACUUUUGAUUGGUUCCCCACAUUGAGGGAAAAUAUGUGAGUGGAGGAGAGGAGAAGAAGGAAAAAGCAAAAGUUUGAUGGUUGAUGGGUGUGAAAGAAGGGGAUCGGAUCCCUUUUAAGGAUUAGAUGGAUUUGUACAAUUUUAAUUAUACAAAAUCUAUCCUCUUGACAGUGUUUCGACACUAUGAAUUUGCACGUGCGUGUACAAAAAUACCCGUAGUUAACGUACUUUAACAAAGCGUAACUUUCUCAUUACAGAUCCGAUUCAAGUCUAACACGCGUUCAUGCAUUCGUAGCGACGAGUACUAAUUAAGUACGAAACCAGGAAAAAGAAACUGGAAGCCGAAACCACGUCCACGUCAUAUUCCACUUUUGUCCAAAAAGGGUAAAAUCGUCAACUCACACCAACAGAAAAGAAAUCACAGUGAAAAGUAGGGACGGGUCGUCACAGGAUGACGUCGUCCUGAUGUCACAUGACCUCAAGCGCAGAGUCACGCUAUUCAUGGCCUACUCCUCAAUUCGGUGGUCUUAAGCCCACCUGUGGCCUUGAUUGAUUAGGUUGGGGUGGAUAAGAUAAUUGGGGUUUUAGGGGAUUCAAUUGCUCAACUGUCAAAAUAAUUAGGUAGGGGUGGACUUGCUCUUAUAGUUCUUCUAUUGUGGAGGACUUGCUCUUAUAGUUCUUCUAUUGUAGUUUUGCACAAGAUUCUUUCAUUGGUUGAAGUAUUGACUUAUCCAAGUUAAAAUAUUUUGCUCCAUUUUUAUAUAUGUGCUAGAACAACAACCCUUUCUUUCAUUGGUUGAAGUAUUGACUUAUUCAAGUUAAAAUAUUUUGAUCCAUUUUUAUAUAUGUGCUAGAACAACAACCCUUACCAAUGCCACUUAAUUCUAGUAAUUGAUAGAGAUCCGACCGUCGGAUCGCGAUGGGAAUUUAGUAUGUUAUUCUAGAAGCCUAAUGUGGACUUGGGAAGUUAUGGAUCAGAAAUCCAAUGUGUGGAUCUUCAUGAUCAAAUUACGUAGAGUUGUGGACCCUAUUGUUGACCGAGAGUUGAUUUGUGGUCAACACGUCUCGAAACGUUUUAAAUAACAAAAUUAGUACUUCAGAACUAAUUGAAGUCUAGUGGGCCUAUAUUGGUGAGACAGUGACUUGAAUGCAGGAGAUAUGAUUAUUAUCUUAAUUUCUUAUAUUAGUAUCAUUUGCAAUAUGAACUGGUCUUAUAAAUAUGAUUUCUAUUGAAAUGUGAACUUUAUAUAUUUAGCCAUAGACCUAUACUAAUUAAAUAUGUUUUGGCUUGUGUAUUGAUGAUGUUUGUGGUAUCUAUGUGUUUAAUUAACUUUUUAAUAAUGUGAAUGACAAUUAUGGGAUCUAAAUAUUGUUUGCUAAUUAAUUGGGUAUGAUUGCCAAAUGAAUACCUAUUCGAACUUGACAUUAUUACCUAGCAUGAGAUGGAGAUGAAAGUCAGGAUUUGAGUUAGGUACUUUAUUAGAUUUUUAGGAGAAAUAGUAAUUGAGGGAAUUCCUUGUGUUGUGCUCCAUAUGAUUAGAUGCUGGUUGAUAUGCGGAAUCGAUAGCAUGUAUGCGUAUAACUAUGUAUAACUUUUAUGCUUGUAUGAUAAGAUAGUUAGUGGUCACGAGAAGUUGAUAGUGCAAGUGAUUCCGUUGAGUGAUGGUUCAGAAUCAUAUCCUUGUUUGGAUUCCGUUGAGUGGUCCAAAGUCGCAUCACUUUACUUGUUGGUUUCUUAGAUUUGAUAUCAGCUACAGAGAUGUAGGCUUGGCUUAACUAUGUCACUUUAGCCUUAGUCUUAGUAUAUUUGUGAGCAAUGGUUUUGAGAAUCUUGUGGAUUGAAUUAGAAAAGUUGUUGGACGUUUGGGUGACUCUUUCAGGAUUUUCUAUGAUUUCUUAAAUUAUGAAUUUAGAAGAUAUGGUUAUAGUUGUUAUUAUUCUGGUCAAAUUAGUUAAUUAGUGUGGAUAGAGAAUUGUAUUGUGCUUCAUCGGUUCUUUGAUAUGAUAAAUGUUGUGAAUUGCGGUAUCAUGUUGCGACAUAAUGACUUAUAUAGAAGAUGGAAGGGAAAUCAUGAUUUUCAGGUGGAUUUGUUAUGUAACCCUGAGUCUAGUAAUUUCAUGCUUGUCAAGUUCUAUUGAUGGAUUGAGAAAUGUUAUGCCUUUCGGCUUAAACGGACUGUGUUAUAUGUCAAUUAUAGUGCAUGAUGAACUACGAAUGGCUUGAUCCCUGGGUAGGGUACGUAGGCAGUCUAACGAGAAUGUUAGAUGUAGCCAUAAAAUGUACAAAUUUUAAUACGCAAUUCGAGGCAUAGCAUGUGCUUGGUAUAUAUCUCGGAGACGAGUAUGUUAGAUAUAGGGUUAUUUGAUGACGUCACGUGACACACACACACACACACUCUCUCUCUCUCUCUCUCUAAAAUAUGUGUUUUUUGUUGUUUUGGAUCCAAUUUCUUAUGUUUUUGUUUCUGAGUUCUUCUGAAAGUGUGGAUUUUAUUGAUUGGAAUGAAAUUAAUGCUUACCCAUGUCAUCAAUUUGGGGUUUUGAUCUUUGAUUUUGCUAAUUUUGGAGGCUCUUGAAGCCCACAAUCCUGUCGAAGCAAAACAAAAUGUCGGGUUUGCUCCCCAUCAUCUUUGCCGCGGUCAUCUCGAAUGCAUAGACCAAAGAACGCCUCAAGCUCAAGGAAAUCUUCGAGGAUGCUCAUGAACGAGGCUGUAAGCCUGUAAUUGAUUUGGAUGAAAUGUUACCAAAAAAAAAAAAAACGGGUUAACGAGUGAAACGGGUGACCCGUUAGCUUAACGAGUUGAGUUCGGAUGACCCGUUAGCUUAACGGGUUGGGUUCAGAUGACCAGUUAAAUUAACGGGUCGAGUUGAACCGACCCAAAUCCAGUAAACCCGAUCCGUUUACAGGUUUACACACAAAUAAACGUACUCACAAGUAAGAAAACUAUAAUAUAAUAAUACUUUUGAAAGAAAAUACCCACCCACUAUAAGCUGCAGUGUCGUAGCCGUCUUGCCUAGCUUUCCCAUGAAAUUCCUCUGGAUAGCUUUCUCCUUCGAUUCAAGUUAUAUGUUGACGCCGUUAAUGCCGUUAGGAACAUUCCGUCAAGAUGGACGGAUAUUUCGUCUUUUUCUUCCUCGCUGAGUCGAUCGCCAUUCGCCAGUUGGAAUUUCACCAAAAACUAGUCGGAGAUGCUCAAAAAUUGGCUGGAAAGGCUCGGCCCAAUUUGGUUUGGUUGGAAUAAAGCCAUAUUCGAGCAUGCAAGUUCGAAUCUGGGUCCUGGGAGUUGUGAGGAGGCCGUCUAAACCUUGAACAAAUCAAUGAGAUUUGGUUGGAUUGUGCUCAAGAAUAACCUUGGUCGGAGUCGUCGGGAAUCUCACCGGAGCUCUCGGAUGCGAAUAGAGUUCGUUCGGUUCUCGGGUUUGCGUGCGAACUCGAGUGUUUGUUUGGUGUUCCUGUGUUCUGGGCAUAGAGAGGGACAUAGUGAUGGUUAUUUGGUGAUGGUUGUCUCGCCGUAGAAAGCGAGAUGGGUGGUGGGGACGGUCUCGAUGUUGCACAAUGCAAUAGAGAGAGUGUGCAAACAGAGCUCGGGGGAAGAAGGAGAAAGUGAGAGGGGUCUGGUUCGGUUUGUGUGGGUUAAUUACUCAUAAAAUGCUUUGACAAAAAAAAAAAAAAAAAAAAAAACCACAUAAAAUGCGCAUAACGAAAACAUUUUUGAAAUUUCCGGAGGGUGUAAAAUUACGAUUCCAUCUUUCAUCUUAAAAUGCACAUAACUUGUUCAUUACACGUCUAAAUUACAUCAUGUUUGUGCUCACGUGUUCGUAUUGAUGAGUACUAAUUAAAUAGGAUGAUAAAAGGGUAAAUUAUGUAAUUAAAUAGGAUGAUAUACAAUUGCUACAGUUCAAUAAAAAUGUCAAUAUACGCUAGAUUUAUAAGUCAGUAUUCCAGACAACCUUCACAACAACAGGUACAACUUUCGGAAGGGUGAUAGGUAAGAGCAAACCCUCUAUGCGCCAAUUCAGCCAGUGCUAAGCAAACACCAUGCCAUGACCCAUCACACUGAAAAAGUACGAUAUCAGUACAGCUUUUUGAGCAAUAAAAUUGGUACAAUUAUUUACAACUAAUGAAAGGGCGUGAAGAUGCGAUGUUUUAAAGGAUUACGGAAAUCCAUGUAAGCAUGAAAGAUUUUCCAGCAAGGACAAUUUAACCAGUUGAAUCAUAGAAGUAUGGGAAAAGACACCAAACAAAGCAACCAAACUAUAUGCAGAUGGGCUUGGGUUUUCAAGUUCAUAACAAACAGUUUGGUUAAAAGGCAAGAUAAAAAUGUCUGCAGAUAAGCAGAUAAGCAGAUUAUUGAUGAAUGGCAGCUUCUCCAAAGGUUAUUUAAUAUAUCAGAAAGCCAGCAAUGUUCCAACCAAUAAAAUUCUAUAGAAAGAUCAAGUCAGUAGCUCUCUAGUGCAACCUUAUCCAUGCACAUGAAACCCUCGGUUUAGUUUUCUAAGAGACAAACGUUUCGAAGAAUUAGACCCAAAAAGAAAACUUAAGGAUGAAGCUGAAAGAAAGGCUUAUUGGAAUUCAUGUCAAUUAUAAUGGACUGGCAUCUCGAAAGGGAACAGAAGACAUGAUGAUCGUUGCAUUCCUCAAGGACCACCAACUAUUUUGAGCAUUGAACCUCAUGGAUUAAUGACGGUGGUGGAGAGGAUAAACCAGUGAACUAAACUGAACAACUGUUCCUGAGUAUUUACCACAGCAACAUAUUGUUCCUCAUUUCCAAGGUAAUUUAGGAGGAUUUCAUCUAAUGGAUCUGACUUUCUGUAAAUGUGUUUUCUCAUUCCAACAUCGAAUGCCUCAGCCAGAUCAUCCACAUCUUGGAAAUCAGACUUUUAGUCAGUUUUGUUUAUCUCACAAGCAUAACGAAUACUCCUUUAAGUUCGUCUGUAUAAACUCACUUAUGAGGAGAAUCAUUUCAAAGCUGUUAUGCAGAUGGGCUUGGCUUUUCAACUUCCACAAAAUGAGCAUCAACAAAAUCAUAUGAGUUAUGAGUAUUAUAGGGAUGUCAAAUGCAUCUCUUCACCUCCCAACGAUCCGAUGAGAUAAAGAGGCCACUAGAUGUUAUAUUAUGCAUGGUCUAACCCAAACUGAGUUAUAGGUAGGGAUUUGCCCUGUAACUUGAAUUUUCCAUUGAAAAGUUAAAGAAAAUAAAUAAAUAAAUAAACAUAUCAGUUUAGAGAAUCAAAAACAUAAAUGCAAUAUGCAACUUGCAACUUGCAAUCCUCUCAAAAAUCAUCAUACUUGCUCAAGUAUCACAAUUAUUGGUCCUUGACUCUUUAGACAUAAUCUUUCUCAACUAAAUUGCAAACUAUGUUAGGCUUCAGAUCGUAUGAACUACAAAGAAGUGAAAGCAAACCCUGAAAAUAGCAGCCGGCACUUCUGUAGCUCCAAGUAACCGGAAAUGAUUGAUGGCAUCAUCUGUCAGAGAAGAUAGGACUUCGUGUGUCCAUUCAACAAAGCUGAAGAAGAAAAUGUAUAAGAAAAAGGUAAGCAAAUGCAGCAAUAAGAGUGGUCUAGAAUUACAACAUAAUAGCGAGAUGUAGAACCAUGCACAUCAGUAUGUGUGUGUAAUGUACAAGUACUUAAGGUUGAGUGUUCAUAUUAAAUUUAUCACAUUCUAAGUUACUUGACAUCGAGCAUUCAUACUAUCUAAUAUUCAAAGAAUUAGCAGUAGAACCAGUACUAAAUUUUAAGUCUCCAAAAAAAAAAAAAAAUUCAACAAAUUUAUAGUGAUACAGAAAUAAAACCAAAGGAGGAUUAACUCAUAUUCUCUUGGCUAGAAGGUUAUAUUCCAUAAAUAUUAAGGUGUAAUCGCAGUUUGCACUCAGCUGGAAUUUGAAUCAAUUUUUUCAUAUAAGCAUGCAAUGCUAAAGUAGGCGGUUGUUAUGCAACAUUCUAUGACCUAUGUACGUGAUGAAAGAAACCUGGAAAAAGCCUUUGGCAUGUCUGGGCGUGUUAGAAGCUUCAAGAGCAGCAAAGCAGCAAUAGGACUCAUAGGGCCUGAAUUUGAAAGGUAAUCUUUGGAGAACCCUACUAUCCUCAGUACCAGAGGAGCUGGCUCAAGUUUUCCAAGAUUACUGUUGUUUGCAAUGCUCGUAUCAACAGUGGAGUGAUCAAACGGAACCAACACGAGAAUAGACAGCCACAAAAGCAUCACACAUUUAGCUUCCAUCUCUCCCGUACUUUCCUGACGCAGUGAUGACACUGACUUUGUGUGAUGGCACUUCUCCAAGAGAGACACAGCAAGUUCCAAGUCCGAGACUUGAUGCGGAAAGAACCUGACAACCGCCUUGUAUCCACAAACUGUGACCAGAGAAUAAAGAAUGAUGCAUUUAGGUUUAAUUACUUCAAGACUUUCAUCCGAAGCUAUACCUAAUUCACUUGUUUUUGAGCGGACAAUAAACAUGAGCGGGGUAACCAUGCUCUCCAAAAAAAAAAAAAUUGCUUUCCUUAAAAAAUGAUUAAACUCUUUGUGGUAAUUAUAGUUAUGGCCAGAAGAAAUUUUAUCUUCUAUAUAUAUAAAGUGAGCACCCUAAAAUGGUGAAACAUUCAAAAUACCAUAAGUUAUCCUUUAAGAAUUUCAUAAAUUACAAUUGAACCAAAAGAAGCUAAAGUAUUUAACCAUAUUUUUAUUUUGAAUGAAUUUAAUAUUUAAAAUUAUAGAAAAAAAAAAAAAAAAAACAAAACAAAACAAAACCUCCCACAUUAGUGGGUGGUUUCACGUUUUUAAUUCAUUUCUUUUCUUUUUUUUUAUAAUUUUUUUUUUAAAAUAUGUAAAUUAAUUAUUUAAAUAAAAGAUAUAUAAAAAUGUCAAUUGCCACACGCGUAUGCGGGUGACAAGAGGCUAGUUUUAAAUAAAAUUAAAGAGUACCCAAAGACGAAAUUUAGGUGUACGAAAAACCACCCUAUCAAAAAUCAAAAGCUAAUAACAUUUUGACCUUUUGACAACAAAAAAAUGAAUAACUUUCUGACCUAGUAAUCUCUACUAAUUAAUAUAGCAAAACUCUAUGAAAUUACUAGUUUAACUCUCUAAUUAAAACAUAAUAUGAAUAAGAAAUAUGAGACAGAAAUGUAAUUUCACACCACCAAAUUUUGCUGUUUUUUUUUUCAAAGGCUCACCUACAUGUAAUCUUAACAUAUCUCUAAUUUUAAAAUAAAAACAAAUAAAUAAAUUAAACUUCUCUCUCACAUUCUCUACCACUCUCUUCCUCUCUCCUAUUUCAAAAAUAAAAUAAAAAAAUUUCUCGCAUACUUUGUGUAUGCCCAUAUACUAGUACACAACUAUCUCAAUUCAGUUAUCGGCCACGGUUUGUUAAUAAAAAAAAAUGAUGUAAGUUUAUCAUUUUCAAAAGGAAAAUACAAAACCGUUACGGCCCAUAUUCCAACCUAAGUACAUACUUGGCUUAGCCCAUAUUACUCAGUCGUCACGGGCCGUCUAUUUAGACAGUUCGUAACCUUCUCAAGUGAAAUAUCAUCCGUCAGAUCGAAUAAUUAACGGCUGUGAUUUGAGACAUUCCCCACUUAUUCGCUUCUUAUGGGUCAGGCGUAAGCCAUUAAAAGGGUAUCAGGUUCUCUCGAAAGAGUCGUCUCCUUCACACCUCUCACGCUCUCGCUCUCAGUCUCUCUUUUGUCUUUGCGCAUUUCAGCGUAGAGCUCAAAGCGGAGACGCCUCGCACCCGCCACCUCCGAAGGUAUAACCUAAAUUUCCUCCUGCUAUGUUUAGAUCUGAAUUUUGUCAGUAUCGCUUUCAGAUUUUUGAGAUUUUUUUCAUUUACUUUCAAUUUUUUUCCAGAUCUGUAUUUUUUUCUGUAAUUUUGAUGUGCAAAGGUGAUUUUUUUAAUCGAUUGAUUGUUUUUCUGGAUCUGAUUAUUUGCGACUUGUAGUGAGAUCUGAUCUGCUCGAUUUGUUUGCUUUACUGUUUCAUAUAUGUUCAUCGUUGUCAGAUCUGAUUUUCUAGUACAUUUUUAUGGUGGAACUGUAUUGAUUUACUUAUUUGUUGAUUGUAGGUUUGGAUCCUUUAGAUCUGGACGGUUAUGAUUGGUUAACGAAGUUAGUGUUUGUUUUAUUUCGUUUAGGUGAUUCUUUGAUGUCGUUAAUUGGAAGUUUUUUAUUUUUUAAGUGAAUGCUCUUGAUAAAUGUGACGAAUAAUAAAUUGUUGAUUUUGGUAACAAAGAAAUGAUUUUUUUUUUUUUUUUUUUGUAGUCUUAAAAAUUGUGAACUGUUUAGUCGGAUCUAUGAUUACUGAAUGUUAUUUUGUAUGAUAUGGUUUUCAAUUUCUUCGGUGUUUACGAUUUAUUUUAAUGCUUACUGUGAUUCAAUUUUUUAUCAUAGGCUAAGGAGUUGUAUGUUGGGAUUUUAAUUCUCAAACCUAAAGCAAUAACCAUUUAUUAUACGGCAUAGGGAUUGAAUUCUUGCACAUUUCAGUGAGUAAUAAACAGAUUACCAUCCGAUAUGCUGACAGUUCAUGUUUAGUACCACUUAAGUUUUCAUGAAAACCCUACUUUUUUAUUAAAAAAUGUUUUUAACUCCCCUAUUUGAUGAGGUUGUGGUUCUAUUUGAAGCAUUAAUUGUGUGGAUAUUCUUUUGUUCCUUGAUAGUACCAUGAUGUUGACUGCAUCCAUGACAAAAUAGUGCAAAGAUUUGCACUUUUUAUAGAAUAGAUGAUCUGAUAAGUACGUAUGUAGUUUUUAGUAACCAUCUGCUCCUUUUGAGGUCAUUCUGUGUCAGAAAUUUAAUUGUUUUCUGAUUAUUGAUGUCAAUAGACCUGAAGAUUGAGGCUCGUCCUCUAUUAUUAUCUGUCUCUGGAAGUACAAAUGAUUUUAUAACUGGUUUUAUAGUCUACUUGAUGCUAUUAUACAUAAUUGAUGUCAGUUCAGUUUUGGUCAAGUUGUAUCAUUUACAUCAGGAAUGGUUAAUAUUUUUGGUUAUCGUGGUAGAUUCUGUUUCUGAUAUGGUAUAUGCACAUUCUUGUAGGGCAACAAUGGUUGAUCAGGUUCAACAUCCUUCUGUCGUCCAGAAGGUAGCUGGCCAGCUCCUUCAGCAAUCUAUCCAGGGUUACGAUAAUGGCUUCCAAAGACCAGGAAUGUACCAAAGACGUGCUUAUGGGAACUACACAAAUGCUGCACUGCAGUAUCCCUUCAUGCCAGCAUGCAGAGCUACCACUGAUAUGUCUUUGGUUCCAUCAACUGCAUCUCCUAUCUUUGUUCAAGCCCCUGCGGAGAAAGGCCACUUUCUUAUUGAUUUUCUCAUGGGCGGAGUCUCUGCUGCUGUAUCUAAAACUGCUGCUGCCCCAAUUGAGCGUGUCAAGCUGUUGAUUCAGAACCAGGAUGAGAUGAUCAAAACUGGUCGUUUGUCUCAACCCUACAAGGGCAUUGGAGAGUGCUUUAGCCGUACAAUCAAGGAAGAGGGUUUUGGUUCAUUGUGGAGAGGGAACACUGCCAAUGUUAUCCGUUACUUCCCCACUCAGGUUUGUGAUGUUAUUUUUUAAUUAAAUGUUCCAUUGGCAAAGAAAAGUUUUGAUGCGUACUUGUACUAAAAUUGUUACCUGGAUUUGUUGUAGGCCUUGAACUUUGCAUUCAAGGAUUACUUCAAGAGGCUGUUCAACUUCAAGAAAGACAGGGACGGUUAUUGGAAAUGGUUUGCUGGUAACUUGGCUUCAGGAGGUGCCGCUGGUGCUUCUUCUCUUUUCUUUGUCUACUCUUUGGAUUAUGCUCGUACUCGUUUGGCUAAUGAUGCUAAAGCUGCAAAGAAAGGAGGAGAAAGACAAUUCAAUGGUCUGGUUGAUGUCUACAGGAAGACAUUGAAAUCUGAUGGAAUUGCCGGUCUUUACCGUGGAUUCAACAUCUCUUGUGUUGGAAUUAUUGUCUACCGUGGUCUCUAUUUUGGACUGUACGACUCACUGAAGCCUGUUGUCCUGACUGGAGGCUUGCAGGUUAGUGGAUUACUUUUAUUUAUUCACUUACCUUUUUGUUCAUGGUUAUAUAUUCUUAUGAUGGUGUUGGCUUUGUUUACGCUAGUUGCUAGCCCAAUUUUGGUUUUUUAUUACGUUCUGUGUAAUUGUUGAAUGGUUAUAUAUUCUUAUGAUGGUGUUGGCUUUGUUUACGCUAGUUGCUAGCUCAAUUUUGGUUUUUUAUUACGUUCUGUGUAAUUGUUGAAUAUCUUGUAUGUGUGCAUAUUGUUAUGGCAUAAUAUUUCUUAUAUUAGUCAUUCAUUUCCCUUUGAGAAAGGACUAUUAAUUUUGCAAAAGGUUUAAUGAUGCGUCCUCUCUUUUGUUUAUUAUUUUUGGCUUUGCUCUAUUCUAAUGCUUUCUUUGCGAAGCAUUACAAAGAAUUGUAUGAAGUGUCUAUUUAUGUUGGUUUUUAAAGAAUGCUAUGCCACAAUGUUUGAAUCCGUUGCCCACAAUCAUUAUCUGCUUUCAGUUGUGUGACGUGUUGCUUUAUUGUUUUGAAAACUACAGGAUAGUUUCUUCGCUAGCUUUGCCCUCGGUUGGCUCAUCACCAAUGGUGCUGGUCUUGCAUCCUACCCAAUUGACACUGUCCGCAGAAGAAUGAU
rnacentral:lncRNA from 1 species